UUAAUUUCAGUUUUCGUUAUUUCAUUCGUUUUCGUUAACUGUAAUAACCCUGUUGCAGAGUAACCUGCUAAUAUAAAAUGAGACUGAGGGAGAUACAUGCAUGUGUCACACACAGUAUCCAAUCAGCAGCUUCAGACUGAGCCAUGACUGAGCAGUUACACUCAGAGGUUAGCACCUUUUCUGCCCUCUCUGUGGGAUAAACGACAUUACUACACGAUGGUACAUCAUCCUGCCCCAGGGUUUACUCCAGUUUUGUGUCAACCUUGCAACAACUAGUUAUGUCACCACAGUAAGUGUCAGUAGACGGGAAACACAGCAGAGAGAGGGGAUGAUCUGCAGCAAAAGGCCCAAACUGGAAUCAAACCUUGGCCAGCGUGACAUGUGGUGCAUGUACUACCAGGAGGAUGUUGGUCCUGUCAGUCCUAUUUUCUGACCUGCCAGUGGUUCAGAUGGACUUAAUCAACUAUUUUGCUGUCCUACCAGUCUACCUGUCUGAUCAGAAACCAGUCUUGUCAAGGAUAAAUAGAGAGAGGAUCCUGCAAUUCCACAGCAAACACCUGAUGACUAACCGGGGUACUCAAGCGGAACUGGUGACACUACAAUUACAUACUUUUCCCAAAGAAUGUCUAAAUGCAAAACCUAUUUAUAUUUCAACAAUGUCUUUGUUUGUAAUGGGCUUUAUAUGUUAUUUUCUCUGUAAUUAACCACGGGCAGUUGGUUGUAAAAUCUUAGCCACUGGUGUUCUAUUUUUUUCUGGGUGAAGUUCUGGCAACAACAGCUGCCACUGUUUGAAUGUAAUGUUGAUUUUUACAAUUAAAUACUGUUAUGUAUCACA